rnacentral:rRNA from 1 species
AUUACUCCUACGGGAGGCAGCAGUGGGGAAUCUUGGACAAUGGGCGAAAGCCUGAUCCAGCGACGCCGCGUGGGUGAUGAAGGCCUUCGGGUUGUAAAGCCCUUUCGCCGGGGACGAUGAUGACGGUACCCGGAGAAGAAGCACCGGCUAACUCCGUGCCAGCAGCCGCGGUAAUAAUC